UACGUAGGUGGCAAGCGUUGUCCGGAUUUACUGGGCGUAAAGGGCGUGCAGGCGGUUUGUCUAGUCUAGGGUGAAAGCUCCCGGCUUAACUGGGAGAGGUCCUUGGAUACUGGCAAACUUGAGGGAGGCAGAGGAAAGUGGAAUUCCCGGUGUAGUGGUGAUAUGCGUAGAUAUCGGGAGGGACACCAGUGGCGAAGGCGGCUUUCUGGGCCUUACCUGACGCUGAGACGCGAAAGCGUGGGGAGCGAACCGG
rnacentral:rRNA from 1 species